rnacentral:rRNA from 1 species
UUAAGUUAUUAAGGGCGUACGGUGGAUGCCUUGGCACUAGAAGCCGAUGAAGGACGUUACUAACGACGAUAUGCUUUGGGGAGCUGUAAGUAAGCUUUGAUCCAGAGAUUUCCGAAUGGGGAAACCCAGCAUGAGUUAUGUCAUGUUAUCGAUAUGUGAAUACAUAGCAUAUCAGAAGGCACACCCGGAGAACUGAAACAUCUUAGUACCCGGAGGAAGAGAAAGAAAAUUCGAUUCCCUUAGUAGCGGCGAGCGAAACGGGAAGAGCCCAAACCAACAAGCUUGCUUGUUGGGGUUGUAGGACACUCUGUACGGAGUUACAAAGGACGACAUUAGACGAAUCAUCUGGAAAGAUGAAUCAAAGAAGGUAAUAAUCCUGUAGUCGAAAAUGUUGUCUCUCUUGAGUGGAUCCUGAGUACGACGGAGCACGUGAAAUUCCGUCGGAAUCUGGGAGGACCAUCUCCUAAGGCUAAAUACUCUCUAGUGACCGAUAGUGAACCAGUACCGUGAGGGAAAGGUGAAAAGCACCCCGGAAGGGGAGUGAAAUAGAACCUGAAACCGUGUGCUUACAAGUAGUCAGAGCCCGUUAAUGGGUGAUGGCGUGCCUUUUGUAGAAUGAACCGGCGAGUUACGAUUUGAUGCAAGGUUAAGCAGUAAAUGUGGAGCCGUAGCGAAAGCGAGUCUGAAUAGGGCGUUUAGUAUUUGGUCGUAGACCCGAAACCAGGUGAUCUACCCUUGGUCAGGUUGAAGUUCAGGUAACACUGAAUGGAGGACCGAACCGACUUACGUUGAAAAGUGAGCGGAUGAACUGAGGGUAGCGGAGAAAUUCCAAUCGAACCUGGAGAUAGCUGGUUCUCUCCGAAAUAGCUUUAGGGCUAGCCUCAAGUGAUGAUUAUUGGAGGUAGAGCACUGUUUGGACGAGGGGCCCCUCUCGGGUUACCGAAUUCAGACAAACUCCGAAUGCCAAUUAAUUUAACUUGGGAGUCAGAACAUGGGUGAUAAGGUCCGUGUUCGAAAGGGAAACAGCCCAGACCACCAGCUAAGGUCCCAAAAUAUAUGUUAAGUGGAAAAGGAUGUGGCGUUGCCCAGACAACUAGGAUGUUGGCUUAGAAGCAGCCAUCAUUUAAAGAGUGCGUAAUAGCUCACUAGUCGAGUGACACUGCGCCGAAAAUGUACCGGGGCUAAACAUAUUACCGAAGCUGUGGAUUGUCCUUUGGACAAUGGUAGGAGAGCGUUCUAAGGGCGUUGAAGCAUGAUCGUAAGGACAUGUGGAGCGCUUAGAAGUGAGAAUGCCGGUGUGAGUAGCGAAAGACGGGUGAGAAUCCCGUCCACCGAUUGACUAAGGUUUCCAGAGGAAGGCUCGUCCGCUCUGGGUUAGUCGGGUCCUAAGCUGAGGCCGACAGGCGUAGGCGAUGGAUAACAGGUUGAUAUUCCUGUACCACCUAUAAUCGUUUUAAUCGAUGGGGGGACGCAGUAGGAUAGGCGAAGCGUGCGAUUGGAUUGCACGUCUAAGCAGUAAGGCUGAGUAUUAGGCAAAUCCGGUACUCGUUAAGGCUGAGCUGUGAUGGGGAGAAGACAUUGNNNGUCUUCGAGUCGUUGAUUUCACACUGCCGAGAAAAGCCUCUAGAUAGAAAAUAGGUGCCCGUACCGCAAACCGACACAGGUAGUCAAGAUGAGAAUUCUAAGGUGAGCGAGCGAACUCUCGUUAAGGAACUCGGCAAAAUGACCCCGUAACUUCGGGAGAAGGGGUGCUCUUUAGGGUUAACGCCCAGAAGAGCCGCAGUGAAUAGGCCCAAGCGACUGUUUAUCAAAAACACAGGUCUCUGCUAAACCGUAAGGUGAUGUAUAGGGGCUGACGCCUGCCCGGUGCUGGAAGGUUAAGAGGAGUGGUUAGCUUCUGCGAAGCUACGAAUCGAAGCCCCAGUAAACGGCGGCCGUAACUAUAACGGUCCUAAGGUAGCGAAAUUCCUUGUCGGGUAAGUUCCGACCCGCACGAAAGGCGUAACGAUUUGGGCACUGUCUCAACGAGAGACUCGGUGAAAUCAUAGUACCUGUGAAGAUGCAGGUUACCCGCGACAGGACGGAAAGACCCCGUGGAGCUUUACUGUAGCCUGAUAUUGAAAUUCGGCACAGCUUGUACAGGAUAGGUAGGAGCCUUUGAAACGUGAGCGCUAGCUUACGUGGAGGCGCUGGUGGGAUACUACCCUAGCUGUGUUGGCUUUCUAACCCGCACCACUUAUCGUGGUGGGAGACAGUGUCANNNGCGGGCAGUUUGACUGGGGCGGUCGCCUCCUAAAAGGUAACGGAGGCGCUCAAAGGUUCCCUCAGAAUGGUUGGAAAUCAUUCAUAGAGUGUAAAGGCAUAAGGGAGCUUGACUGCGAGACCUACAAGUCGAGCAGGGUCGAAAGACGGACUUAGUGAUCCGGUGGUUCCGCAUGGAAGGGCCAUCGCUCAACGGAUAAAAGCUACCCCGGGGAUAACAGGCUUAUCUCCCCCAAGAGUUCACAUCGACGGGGAGGUUUGGCACCUCGAUGUCGGCUCAUCGCAUCCUGGGGCUGUAGUCGGUCCCAAGGGUUGGGCUGUUCGCCCAUUAAAGCGGUACGCGAGCUGGGUUCAGAACGUCGUGAGACAGUUCGGUCCCUAUCCGUCGUGGGCGUAGGAAAUUUGAGAGGAGCUGUCCUUAGUACGAGAGGACCGGGAUGGACAUACCUCUGGUGUACCAGUUGUCGUGCCAACGGCAUAGCUGGGUAGCUAUGUGUGGACGGGAUAAGUGCUGAAAGCAUCUAAGCAUGAAGCCCCCCUCAAGAUGAGAUUUCCCAACUUCGGUUAUAAGAUCCCUCAAAGAUGAUGAGGUUAAUAGGUUCGAGGUGGAAGCAUGGUGACAUGUGGAGCUGACGAAUACUAAUCGAUCGAAGACUUAAUCAA